UACGUAGGGGUCGAGCGUUGUCCGGAGUUACUGGGCGUAAAGCGUGCGUAGGCGGUUCUCCAAGUCCGUUGUGAAAGCCCCGGGCUCAACCUGGGAAUGGCAGUGGAAACUAGGGGACUGGAAUCUGGCAGAGGGGGUGGAAUGCCGCGGUGUAGCAGUGAAAUGCGUAGAGAUGCGGCGGAACACCGAUGGCGAAGGCAGCCCCCUGGGCUGAGAUUGACGCUCAGGCACGAAAGCGUGGGGAGCAAACAGG
rnacentral:rRNA from 1 species